AUUGAACGCUGGCGGCAGGCUUAACACAUGCAAGUCGAACGGUAGCAGGAGAAAGCUUGCUUUCUUGCUGACGAGUGGCGGACGGGUGAGUAAUGCUUGGGAAUCUGGCUUAUGGAGGGGGAUAACUACGGGAAACUGUAGCUAAUACCGCGUAAUAUCGAAAGAUUAAAGUGUGGGACCUUCGGGCCACAUGCCAUAAGAUGAGCCCAAGUGGGAUUAGGUAGUUGGUGGGGUAAAGGCCUACCAAGCCGACGAUCUCUAGCUGGUCUGAGAGGAUGACCAGCCCCACUGGAACAGAGACACCGUCCAGACUCCUACGGGUGGCAGCAGUGGGGAAUAUUUUUUUUUGGGGGGAACCCUGACGCCCCCUGCCGCGUGAAUGAAAUAAGCCCUCUGGUUGUUAAGUUCUUUUGUUAUAGAGGAAGGGAUGUGUGCCACUAUUUUAGAUCCUGGUUCUCAUAAGAAAGACGGGCUACUUCCCUCCUGCCACCGCGUGUUAUUAGGGGGGGCGAGAUUUUUUGUAUAUUUUGUGUUAUAAGGUAAA
rnacentral:rRNA from 1 species